rnacentral:rRNA from 1 species
GACGAACGCUGGCGGCGUGCUUAACACAUGCAAGUCGAACGGACAGACGCGGAGCUUGCUGGUCUGUCGUUAGGCGCGGAGGGGGGAGAAACAAGAGGAUAAUCUCCUUCUCAGUCUGGGAUAACUUCGGCAAACAGGAGCUAAUACCAGAGAAUAUACUGAACCGCUGGGUUGAUUGGUAAAUGACGGUUUUGCUGUCAGUAAUAGAUGGAUCCGCGCCGGAUUAGCUAGUUGGUAAGGUAACGGCCUACCAAGGCAGCGAGGCGUAGGCGACCUGAGAGAGUGGUUGGCCACACUAGAAGUGAGACACGCACCAUACUCCUACGGGAGGGAGCAGUAGGGAAUCUGCCGCAAUAGGCGGAAGCCUGACGGAGCAACGCCGCGCGAGUGAUGAAGGUCUUCGGUUCGGAAAGCUCUCUUAUUAGGUAAAAACAAAUGUCUAAGUAGCUAUGGCCUGAUUGACGGUACCUAGUCAAAAAGCCGCGGCUAACUACGUG